rnacentral:rRNA from 1 species
UACGGAGGAUGCAAGCGUUAUCCGGAUUCAUUGGGUGUAAAGGGUGCGUAGGCGGACUAUUAAGUCAGUGGUGAAAUCCUGCAGCUUAACUGCAGAACAGCCAUUGAUACUGAUAGUCUUGAGUUUGGUUAAGGUGGGUGGAAUGUGUAAUGUAGCGGUGAAAUGCUUAGAGAUUACACAGAACACCAAUUGCGUAGGCAGCUUACUGAGCCGACACUGACGCUGAGGCGCGAAAGCGUGGGGAUCGAACAGG